UGUUUUGAAACCAAGAAGAAAGGAAGCCUGAAGAAAACGGGGUGGUUGAAAUGAGGAAGCCUCAUGAUACUGGCUGUCUCCAGUAACUCUGUAAGGAUGACCACCUGAUGGCCUGUGAACAAGAGGAACCAGACUGUCACAAUGUCACAAUGUCCAUGUGUUCUUAACUUUACACGGGGGUGCGAGGGCAGCAAAUGACUAAAACUUCUGGGUGGUGACACCUGCAGACAUGGCGGGUCAGCCAGGUCUGGAGAGGGGCUGGCCUGGCAGGUGACGGACAGCAGAGGUGGAGAAUGGAAUUGCUGGGUACUUCACAUGAACCGCACAGGAACCAUCUUCGGCGUGCACAGUGGAAAAAGAGCAGCUGGCUCUCUCAGGUCAUCGUUUCGUGUGUGUAACCACUGAGUAAUAAGUUACUCGCCGGACCCGGGAUCUUCCUUCACUACAGUGUUGCGGACAUCGAGGGCAAGCAUCAUAGGAACGUCCAUGGUGCCACCAUAAAGGCCAAGCAUUGUGUCACCGGGCAGCAGACAGGAAAGGACAAAAGCUUCAGGCUGUCUGACAUUAUGUCCCAUCAUACCUUGCUUCCCAGGGGACCUCAGACCCCACCGCUCCCAGUAACCCAGAGAAGAAACUGAGGUUGGAACAGGACAACGGAACCGGGAGGCAAACCCAGACCUACCGCGUACACUUGGUUCCCCCGCGUUUUGAACCUCCUAGCUUUCCCUGCACCAGCCUAACUGUCCUGGGUCUGCCCUGGCCCUCCAAGUACCCAGAGGCCCCUGCAUCUGAGAUACCUUGUAUGGACCAAAAACAAUAAAAAAAUCUUCUGGGUUUUUUGUUA